GAUGAACGCUGGCGGCGUGCCUAAUACAUGCAAGUCGAGCGAACGGACGAGAAGCUUGCUUCUCUGAUGUUAGCGGCGGACGGGUGAGUAACACGUGGAUAACCUACCUAUAAGACUGGGAUAACUUCGGGAAACCGGAGCUAAUACCGGAUGAUAUUUUGAACCGCAUGGUUCAAAAGUGAAAGACGGUCUUGCUGUCACUUAUAGAUGGAUCCGCGCUGCAUUAGCUAGUUGGUAAGGUAACGGCUUACCAAGGCAACGAUGCAUAGCCGACCUGAGAGGGUGAUCGGCCACACUGGAACUGAGACACGGUCCAGACUCCUACGGGAGGAAGCAGUAGGGAAUCUUCCGCAAUGGGCGAAAGCCGGACGGAGCAACGCCGCGGGAGUGAUGAAGGUCUUCGGAUCGUAAAACUCUGUUAUUAGGGAAGAACAUAUGUGUAAGUAACGGUGCACAUCUUGACGGUACCAAAUCAGAAAGCCACGGCUAACUACGU
rnacentral:rRNA from 1 species